UGAGGAAUAUUGGUCAAUGGACGGGAGUCUGAACCAGCCAAGUAGCGUGCAGGAUGACGGCCCUAUGGGUUGUAAACUGCUUUUAUAGGGGGAUAAAGUGUGCCACGUGUGGCAUAUUGCAGGUACCCUAUGAAUAAGGACCGGCUAAUUCCGUGCCAGCAGCCGCGGUAAUACGGAAGGUCCGGGCGUUAUCCGGAUUUAUUGGGUUUAAAGGGAGCGUAGGCCGUCUUAUAAGCGUGUUGUGAAAUGUCGUGGCUCAACCUGGGCAUUGCAGCGCGAACUGGUUUCCUUGAGUACGCACAAAGUGGGCGGAAUUCGUGGUGUAGCGGUGAAAUGCUUAGAUAUCACGAAGAACUCCGACUGCGAAGGCAGCUCACGGGAGCGCAACUGACGCUGAAGCUCGAAAGUGCGGGUAUCGAACAGGAUUAGAUACCCUGGUAGU
rnacentral:rRNA from 1 species